rnacentral:lncRNA from 1 species
GUCCGCACACCCCCGCACCUUCCUCGUCUUCGACCAUGCCGAGGCCGCACCGCGGCUUUUUUUUUUUCCUCUCCGACUCUCCUUCACCAUUUCCGACGACGACGCCUCUCUCGCCCUUCCCCGUCUUUCUCGUCCUCCGGCGCAUCCUUACCCUCGCCUGCACACCCCUAUACCUUCCUCGCCUCCGACCCUGCCGAGAUCACGUCGUGACUCUUUUUUUUUUCCUCUUCGACUCUCCUCCACUGUUUCCGACGACGACACCUCUCUUGCCCUUCUCCGUCCUUCUCGUCAUCUCCCUCUCCCUCCUCCUCUGCCGCUUCCGACGACGAUACAUCUCGGCGCC